AAAGGCCUUGCGCGCUCUGGUCCUUCCUCACUCUCCGGCUGUCUGACUUGCAGGGUUGUCGACAAAAUCUUUGUAGAAUGGAGGAUAUCAAAUGGUUCAAAUUGACCUGUCUACAUUUUAGCAGUCAUCAUUCAUUAUCCUGGUUUCAGGAAAGUCCAAAAACAUGAAGGAAGCGGAGAGGAUGAGGUGUGGUCAUGUUGAAUGAAUUGACUGCUUGACAAGAUCCUAACGGAUGAUCCUCAUGGAUGUGCAUGGAUCUGGCAUGAAUGUUCUUGGAGCAGAUGCAGGAACAGAAUUGUCUUUUAUCCAGAGGACCAAAUGAAGACAUAUCUUUGCUGACAGAACCUUCACUGCGCUGUUGAGCAAAUGGGACUCUGAACAGCCAUGUGCACAAGAUGACUCAAAAAUAUGGUUAUAGUCACUUACUCUGGGUCAGUUGGAACAUCGGAGACAAAAUCAGCUGAGGAAAGAGCUGCAUCUCUCAGACUGACCUUGGAAUGCAGAUGUGAAGUCCCCUGGCCCUGAGGAGAAAAACCUAAUACCCCCUUUUGUUCUGUUCCACUAAAGCCAGUCUGAAUAUCCACACCUACAGUUCUGGUUCAGGAUAAAUGAAGAGGAAAUUAUGAUCUUUUCCAGAUUCUGUUGUGGGUCGUAACUUGAUCCUGUGGACAACCCAUGAGUAUCAAGAAUGUAUUAUGUUAUUAGUUUUUUUGCAACACUGUGGCAAUAAAUACUAAAAUACUA